CAAAAAAUAGUUUAUAAAUAGAAUACUAAUUUUGGAGAUUGGAGAUAUGAGUUGAUACAUUUUUUUGA
rnacentral:tRNA from 1 species